CCUACGGGAGGCAGCAGUAGGGAAUCUUCCACAAUGGGCGAAAGCCUGAUGGAGCAACGCCGCGUGAGUGAUGAAGGCCUUCGGGUUGUAAAACUCUGUCAUUCGGGACGAACCGGAGUCUGAGGAAAUGCAGACUCUCUGACGGUACCGGAGGAGGAAGCCCCGGCUAACUACGUGCCAGCAGCCGCGGUAAUACGUAGGGGGCAAGCGUUGUCCGGAUUCACUGGGCGUAAAGCGCGCGCAGGCGGCGAUGUAAGUCUGAGGUGAAAACCCGAAGCUCAACUUCGGGACUGCCUUGGAUACUGCGUCACUUGAGGAUAGGAGAGGCAAGGGGAAUUCCACGUGUAGCGGUGAAAUGCGUAGAGAUGUGGAGGAACACCUGUGGCGAAGGCGCCUUGCUGGCCUAUUUCUGACGCUGAGGCGCGAAAGCGUGGGGAGCAAACAGGAUUAGAUACCCUGGUAGUCCACGCUGUAAACGAUGAGUGCUAGGUGUAGGUGGGCUCAUACCACUCUGUGCGACGACUAACGACAUAAGACACNCCGCCCGUCGGGGUAGGUACGGUCGGCGACGACGUACGAAACGUUAAAGUUAGUAAGUUAGUUACGGCGUUGAGGACGUUAGGCCGACGGACGACGACGAGGGAGGUUAGGGAG
rnacentral:rRNA from 1 species